rnacentral:rRNA from 1 species
UACGAAGGGGCUAGCGUUGCUCGGAAUCACUGGGCGUAAAGCGCACGUAGGCGGCUUUCUAAGUCAGGGGUGAAAUCCUGGAGCUCAACUCCAGAACUGCCUUCGAUACUGGCGAUCUUGAGUCCGGAAGAGGUGAGUGGAACUCCUAGUGUAGAGGUGGAAUUCGUAGAUAUUAGGAAGAACACCAGUGGCGAAGGCGGCUCACUGGCCCAUUACUGACGCUGAGGCACGAAAGCGUGGGGAGCAAACAGG